GAUGAACGCUGGCGGCGUGCCUAAUACAUGCAAGUCGAGCGGACGGACGAGAAGCUUGCUUCUCUGAUGUUAGCGGCGGACGGGUGAGUAACACGUGGAUAACCUACCUAUAAGACUGGGAUAACUUCGGGAAACCGGAGCUAAUACCGGAUAAUAUUUUGAACCGCAUGGUUCAAAAGUGAAAGACGGUCUUGCUGUCACUUAUAGAUGGAUCCGCGCUGCAUUAGCUAGUUGGUAAGGUAACGGCUCACCAAGGCAACGAUGCAUAGCCGACCUGAGAGGGUGAUCGGCCACACUGGAACUGAGACACGGUCCAGACUCCUACGGGAGGCAGCAGUAGGGAAUCUUCCGCAAUGGGCGAAAGCCUGACGGAGCAACGCCGCGUGAGUGAUGAAGGUCUUCGGAUCGUAAAACUCUGUUAUUAGGGAAGAACAUAUGUGUAAGUAACUGUGCACAUCUUGACGGUACCUAAUCAGAAAGCCACGGCUAACUACGUG
rnacentral:rRNA from 1 species